rnacentral:tRNA from 1 species
GGUGUAGCUCAAUAGUAGAGCACUAGUCUUUAAAAGCUAGCUACUAGGGAUCGAUUCCUUUCAUC